UGUGUAUGUGUGUGUGUGUGUGUGUGUGUGUGUUGUGUGUGUGUGUGUGUGUGUUGUAUACACACACACACACACACACACACACACACACACACACACACACACACACACAUAAUAUAUAUAAUAAUAUAUAUAUAUAUAUAUAUAUAUAUAUAUAUAUAUAUAUAUAUGUACACAU